rnacentral:rRNA from 1 species
CCUACGGGGGGCAGCAGUGAGGAAUAUUGGUCAAUGGGCGAGAGCCUGAACCAGCCAAGUCGCGUGAGGGAGUACUGCCCUAUGGGUUGUAAACCUCUUUUGUCGGGGAGCAAAAGCCGGACGUGUCCGGCUGUGAGAGUACCCGAAGAAAAAGCAUCGGCUAACUCCGUGCCAGCAGCCGCGGUAAUACGUAGGUGGCGAGCGUUGUCCGGAAUUACUGGGUGUAAAGGGAGUGUAGGCGGGAAAGCAAGUCAGAAGUGAAAACUAUGGGCUUAACCCAUAGCCUGCUUUUGAAACUGUUUUUU